rnacentral:sRNA from 1 species
UCGCGUCAAGCGCCGUAGGCAGGAGCGGGGGACCCAAGGUAGGUGCCCGACCGGUCAGUUGACCGGAAGGGCUUGGGGUGAAGCCGUGUCCCGGGAGGGACGCGGCCGGGCAACUCAACCGGCCCGAACCCGACAGCUCACCUCGCAGGCGUCGGUGAGGGGAUCU